GACGAACGCUAGCGGCGUGCUUAACACAUGCAAGUCGAACGGAAAGGCCCUGCUUUUGUGGGGUGCUCGAGUGGCGAACGGGUGAGUAACACGUGAGUAACCUGCCCUUGACUUUGGGAUAACUUCAGGAAACUGGGGCUAAUACCGGAUAGGAGCUCCUGCUGCAUGGUGGGGGUUGGAAAGUUUCGGCGGUUGGGGAUGGACUCGCGGCUUAUCAGCUUGUUGGUGGGGUAGUGGCUUACCAAGGCUUUGACGGGUAGCCGGCCUGAGAGGGUGACCGGCCACAUUGGGACUGAGAUACGGCCCAGACUCCUACGGGAGGCAGCAGUGGGGAAUAUUGCACAAUGGGCGGAAGCCUGAUGCAGCAACGCCGCGUGCGGGAUGACGGCCUUCGGGUUGUAAACCGCUUUCGCCUGUGACGAAGCGUGAGUGACGGUAAUGGGUAAAGAAGCACCGGCUAACUACGUGCCAGCAGCCGCGGUGAUACGUAGGGUGCGAGCGUUGUCCGGAUUUAUUGGGCGUAAAGGGCUCGUAGGUGGUUGAUCGCGUCGGAAGUGUAAUCUUGGGGCUUAACCCUGAGCGUGCUUUCGAUACGGGUUGACUUGAGGAAGGUAGGGGAGAAUGGAAUUCCUGGUGGAGCGGUGGAAUGCGCAGAUAUCAGGAGGAACACCAGUGGCGAAGGCGGUUCUCUGGGCCUUUCCUGACGCUGAGGAGCGAAAGCGUGGGGAGCGAACAGGCUUAGAUACCCUGGUAGUCCACGCUGUAAACGGUGGGUACUAGGUGUGGGGUCCAUUCCACGGGUUCCGUGCCGUAGCUAACGCUUUAAGUACCCCGCCUGGGGAGUACGGCCGCAAGGCUAAAACUCAAAGGAAUUGACGGGGCCCCGCACAAGCGGCGGAGCAUGCGGAUUAAUUCGAUGCAACGCGUAGAACCUUACCUGGGUUUGACAUGGAUCGGGAGUGCUCAGAGAUGGGUGUGCCUCUUUUGGGGUCGGUUCACAGGUGGUGCAUGGCUGUCGUCAGCUCGUGUCGUGAGAUGUUGGGUUAAGUCCCGCAACGAGCGCAACCCUUGUUCACUGUUGCCAGCACGUUAUGGUGGGGACUCAGUGGAGACCGCCGGGGUCAACUCGGAGGAAGGUGGGGAUGACGUCAAGUCAUCAUGCCCCUUAUGUCCAGGGCUUCACGCAUGCUACAAUGGCUGGUACAGAGAGUGGCGAGCCUGUGAGGGUGAGCGAAUCUCGGAAAGCCGGUCUCAGUUCGGAUUGGGGUCUGCAACUCGACCUCAUGAAGUCGGAGUCGCUAGUAAUCGCAGAUCAGCAACGCUGCGGUGAAUACGUUCCCGGG
rnacentral:rRNA from 1 species